CUCGAAUCAGGUAGGACUACCCGCUGAACUUAAGCAUAUC
rnacentral:rRNA from 4 species